rnacentral:rRNA from 1 species
UCCUACGGGGGGCAGCAGUGGGGAAUAUUGCACAAUGGGGGAAACCCUGAUGCAGCAACGCCGCGUGAGUGAAGAAGUCAUUCGUGAUGUAAAGCUCUAUCAGCAGGGAAGAAAAUGACGGUACCUGAGUAAGAAGCCCCGGCUAACUACGUGCCAGCAGCCGCGGUAAUACGGGGGAUGCGAGCGUUAUCCGGAUUUAUUGGGUGUAAAGGGCGUGUAGGCGGGAACGCAAGUCAGAUGUGAAAACUCCGGGCUCAACCCUGAUCCUGCAUUUGAAACUGUGUUUCUUGAGUGCUGGAGAGGCA